rnacentral:rRNA from 1 species
UAGGGAAUAUUGGGCAAUGGAGGGAACUCUGACCCAGCCAUGCCGCGUGCAGGAAGAAGGCGUUAUGCGUUGUAAACUGCUUUUUUAUAGGAAGAAGGAUCUCUUGCGAGAGAAGGUGACGGUACUAUAAGAAUAAGCACCGGCUAACUCCGUGCCAGCAGCCGCGGUAAUACGGAGGGUGCAAGCGUUGUCCGGAUUUAUUGGGUUUAAAGGGUGCGUAGGCGGUUUAUUAAGUCAGUGGUGAAAGACGGUCGCUCAACGAUUGCAGUGCCAUUGAUACUGGUAGACUUGAGUGUGAUUGAGGUAGCUGGAAUGGAUAGUGUAGCGGUGAAAUGCAUAGAUAUUAUCCAGAACACCGAUUGCGAAGGCAGGUUACUAAGUCAUAACUGACGCUGAGGCA